GAUGAACGCUGGCGGCGUGCCUAAUACAUGCAAGUCGAGCGAACAGACGAGGAGCUUGCUCCUCUGACGUUAGCGGCGGACGGGUGUGUAACACGUGGAUAACCUACCUAUAAGACUGGGAUAACUUCGGGAAACCGGAGCUAAUACCGGAUAAUAUAUUGAACCGCAUGGUUCAAUAGUGAAAGACGGUUUUGCUGUCACUUAUAGAUGGAUCCGCGCCGCAUUAGCUAGUUGGUAAGGUAACGGCUUACCAAGGCAACGAUGCGUAGCCGACCUGAGAGGGUGAUCGGCCACACUGGAACUGAGACACGGUCCAGACUCCUACGGGAGGCAGCAGUAGGGAAUCUUCCGCAAUGGGCGAAAGCCUAACGGAGCAACGCCGCGUGAGUGAUGAAGGUCUUCGGAUCGUAAAACUCUGUUAUUAUGAAAGAACAAAUGUGUAAGUAACUAUGCACGUCUUGACGGUACCUAAUCAGAAAGCCACGGCUAACUACGUG
rnacentral:rRNA from 1 species